rnacentral:rRNA from 1 species
UGGGGAAUUUUGGACAAUGGGCGAAAGCCUGAUCCAGCAAUGCCGCGUGUGUGAAGAAGGCCUUCGGGUUGUAAAGCACUUUUGUCCGGAAAGAAAUCCUUGGCUCUAAUACAGUCGGGGGAUGACGGUGCCGGAAGAAUAAGCACCGGCUAACUACGUGCCAGCAGCCGCGGUAAUACGUAGGGUGCAAGCGUUAAUCGGAAUUACUGGGCGUAAAGCGUGCGCAGGCGGUUUGCUAAGACCGAUGUGAAAUCCCCGGGCUCAACCUGGGAACUGCAUUGGUGACUGGCAGGCUAGAGUAUGGCAGAGGGGGGUAGAAUUCCACGUGUAGCAGUGAAAUGCGUAGAGAUGUGGAGGAAUACCGAUGGCGAAGGCAGCCCCCUGGGCCAAGUACUGACGCUCAUGCACGAAAGCGUGGGGAGCAAACAGGAUUAGAUACCCUGGUAGUCCACGCCCUAAACGAUGUCAACUAGUUGUUGGGGCAUUCAUUUUCCUUAGUAACGUAGCUAACGCGUGAAGUUGACCGCCUGGGGAGUACGGUCGCAAGAUU